UACGGAGGGUGCAAGCGUUGCUCGGAAUUAUUGGGCGUAAAGGGUAGGUAGGUGGUCUCAUUUGUCUGGGGUGAAAGCCUUGAGCUUAACUCAAGAAGUGCCCCAGAAACGGUGAGACUGGAGUCCUGGAGAGGGUCGUGGAAUUCCCGGUGUAGCGGUGAAAUGCGUAGAGAUGUGGAGGAACACCAGUGGCGAAGGCGACUCUUUGGCCUGUAACUGACGCUGAGGCGCGAAAGCGUGGGGAGCAAACAGG
rnacentral:rRNA from 1 species